AGACAGUCCAAGGAGAGCGUGGGAGGACCGGCUAACGGAAGAAGGCAGCAAGACCCUAGAGAAAACAUAAGCCAUGGAGAAACUAAUGGAUUCCCCUGCUAAAAUUUCACUUUGAAAGUAAAGAUAAAAUGAAGACAUAGCAUGAAGACACUUGGUGAUCAAUUAUGGCAAGAUCUUUCAACCUCAGUGACUGCAUCCUUUCUUUUCUAAGAAGAGACUGUAAUUCUUUCUCUGAUGCAUGGAGAGUAACUAGAAAAACUAGGUUACAGCAUAAAGACAGCAGUCUAGACACCAAAUCUCCUCCUCACCAGACACCAAAUCUUCCAGCAUCAUGCUUUUGGACUUCCCAACCUCCAGACCUGCUUUGACAUCUGAGAUCUUGCUGACCCUGGAGAGACUGUUCUCGCUAUGUCAACCAGUUCCCAGAAACAGUAAACACCUCAAAUGCACUCUCAAAGAAAUAAAAAUAUCCACAGACGGACAUAUAUCUAACUGAUAAAUGGUGUGAUAUUUCAUCGUUGCUCCUGUUGAAAGUCUCAAGGCAAUAUGUUUCUUGUUUUAUUUGUUAGUCCUAUCAGUACAUGAAUGUUAUUUGAAAGGAGGAGAAGGAGCAAGAUAGGAGGAGAGGAAAGAAGAGGAGGAGGAACAGAGCAAACAUAUGCAUGCCUAUAAGUAAAUCUAACCAAUCAGCAGUCAAGUGCAGUCCUUUUUGAAAUUGCAGAAGUCUCUCAAGCAUAUAAUUUGUGGCUUCCAGUGAGUUUGAACUUCAUGCUUGAAGUGAUGCACUAGUAGGUGAUUUAAUUCGUGCACCUGUGUCUGGAUUUCUUCCAGACACAAUGAAACGGGUAACUACUUCAGGAUUUACCUAAUAAGGAUUGCAGCGAGACAUCAGAAAGGCACUGAUUGGCAUAUGUGGGCAGGAAAAGGAACAACGAGCUUCCAGUAGAGCUGUGAUAGACACCUGGGUUCAGCCCUUGAGACAAAAACUGAGCAUUUCUCAGCUCCCAAGGCCAAGCCCUUUGGCUUCAAUGAUGUACAAUUUUCUCAUUACAAAUACUAUUGUACCCA
rnacentral:lncRNA from 1 species